GCAGUGGCAGUAUCGUAGCCUAUGAGGUUUAUCCGAGGCGCGAUUAUUGCUAGUUGAAAACUUUACCCAAUACCCCGCCAAGACGACUUGAAAUAUAGUUGGCUUUGGCAAUUUUUGAUGGUCUCUCAGGAGACUGAUAUGCUUGUGAAAUAUAAACCCUGAAUCGUACUCAGCGUAAUUAAUAAUGCUACCUGUACGAGCGCAUGAAACGCUAUUCAUAAUGGAAAUCUGAAAUGAUCUCUGUUGGAGAUCACUGGGUUUGUUCGACUAUGCAGCCGACAGUGCAGAAACAUUGCUCGGAUCCUGUUCCCUGGACCUUGGAGGACUUUUGGUGUGGAUGAUGUUCAGGGCCUACCAAAGCAAGGUUUCUCAAACAACUGUGGGGUGUUUGUUUUGAUGUCUUUACACUACACACACAAUUCAUACAUCAAACUCCUGCAGAGCUGGACGCUGAUGUGACAUGCUGUGACUUAAUGGGGGGGAUGUCUUCUACACCCUGAAAUAUAUUCCUGGAGGGGAGUGGUAUUAUUAUUAUUUGCUAUUAUCAUUAUUGUUGUUAUCAUAUCUAUCAAACUUAACAACCUAUUAUUUCUUAACUUAUAGUACGCCCUGUUCAUUGCAAUGGAGGCACAGUGUGAUUUCACUGAGGUACA